rnacentral:sRNA from 1 species
CACCGCACUGGGGAGUACGACCGCAAGGUUAAAACUCAAAUGAAUUGACGGGGACCCGCACAAGUAGUGGAGCAUGUGGUUUAAUUCGAAGAUACGCGCAGAACCUUACCAACACUUGACAUGUUCGUCGCGACUCUAAGAGAUUAGAGUUUUCGGUUCGGCCGGACGAAACACAGGUGCUGCAUGGCUGUCGUCAGCUCGUGUCGUGAGAUGUUGGGUUAAGUCCCGCAACGAGCGCAACCCUCACUUUUAGUUGCCAUCAUUUAGUUGGGCACUCUGGAAGAACUGCCAGUGAUAAGCUGGAGGAAGGUGGGGAUGACGUCAAGUCCUCAUGGCCCUUACGUGUUGGGCUACACACGUGCUACAAUGGCAUUUACAAUAGGAAGCAAGAUGGCGACAUCAAGCAAAUCCUAAAAAGAUGCCUCAGUUCGGAUUGUACUCUGCAACUCGAGUACAUGAAGCUGGAAUUACUAGUAAUCGCGGAUCAGCGCGCCGCGGUGAAUACGUUCCCGGGUCUUGUACACACCGCCCGUCACACCAUGGGAGUUGGUUCUACCUUAAGGCAAAGCUUAAAAACUUUGACCACGGUAUAGUCAGCGACUGGGGUGAAGUCGUAACAAGGUAGCCGUAGGGGAACCUGCGGCUGGAUUACCUCCUUUCUAAGGAUGAUUAAGAAAAAUUUCUUAAUCUAAAUAUUUAACAGGUUAAUGUUGACCGUCCUCAUUUCUCUUUUCAACGUGUCUCGAUAAGUUAUCUAUAAAUUUGGGCCGGUAGCUCAGUUGGUUAGAGCACACCCUUGAUAAGGGUGGGGUCGAAAGUUCGAGUCUUUCUCGGCCCACCAUUAUUAUAUAAUUGGGGGAUUAGCUCAGCUGGGAGAGCGCCUGAUUUGCAUUCAGGAGGUCAGCGGUUCGAUCCCGCUAUCCUCCACCACGAGACACCUAGCUAUUAAAAUUGUAAAUAAAAUAAUUAAUAUCAAUAUCUAUAUCCGAUUGUUCGAAAUGAUGAACAAUCAAUGAAUGUUCGAAGAGAUGAACAUUCCAACAAAAUUUGAUUCAACACAGAAUUUUUUUCUG